CAGCCGCCACGGUAAUACGUAGGUGGCAAGCGUUGUCCGGAAUUAUUGGGCGUAAAGGGCUCGCAGGCGGUUUCUUAAGUCUGAUAUGAAAGCCGCCGGCUCAACCGGGGAGGGUCAUUGGAAACUGGGAAACUUGAGUGCAGAAGAGGAGAGUGGAAUUCCACGUGUAGCGGUGAAAUGCGUAGAGAUGUGGAGGAACACCAGUGGCGAAGGCGACUCUCUGGUCUGUAACUGACGCUGAGGAGCGAAAGCGUGGGGAGCGAACAGGAUUAGAUACCCCAGUAGUCCCUGUCUCUUAUAC
rnacentral:rRNA from 1 species